UACGUAGGGGGCUAGCGUUGUCCGGAUUUAUUGGGCGUAAAGAGCGUGUAGGCGGCCAGGUAGGUCUGGUGUGAAAACUCGAGGCUUAACCUCGAGAUGUCAUCGGAAACCAUCUGGCUAGAGUCCGGAAGAGGAGAGUGGAAGUCCUGGUGUAGCGGUGAAAUGCGCAGAUAUCAGGAAGAACACCAAUGGCGAAAGCAGCUCUCUGGGACGGUACUGACGCUGAGACGCGAAAGCGUGGGGAGCGAACAGG
rnacentral:rRNA from 1 species